UACGGAGGGUGCGAGCGUUGUCCGGAAUCAUUGGGCGUAAAGGGCGCGUAGGCGGCUCGGCACGUCCGUUGUGAAAUCGCCCGGCUCAACUGGGCGGGGUCGGCGGAUACGGCCGAGCUGGAGCAAGCUAGGGGGUAAUGGAAUUCCCGGUGUAGUGGUGGAAUGCGUAGAUAUCGGGAGGAACACCAGUGGCGAAGGCGGUUACCUGGAGCUUUGCUGACGCUGAUGCGCGAAAGCGUGGGGAGCGAGUCG
rnacentral:rRNA from 1 species